rnacentral:rRNA from 1 species
GACGUAGGGCGCGAGCGUUAAUCGGAAUUACUGGGCGUAAAGCGUGCGCAGGCGGUGAUGUAAGACAGAUGUGAAAUCCCCGGGCUCAACCUGGGAACUGCAUUUGUGACUGCAUCGCUAGAGUACGGCAGAGGGGGAUGGAAUUCCGCGUGUAGCAGGUGAAAUGCGUAGAUAUGCGGAGGAACACCGAUGGCGAAGGCAAUCCCCUGGGCCUGUAACGUGACGCUCCAUGCACGAAAGCGUGGGGAGCAA